AUACUUACCUGGACGGGGUUAACGGGCGAUCAAGAAGGCUUGUGGCCUAGAUCAAUGGCUCACACUGCACUUGGUGAGUGUGUUGGUCUAACAUCUCCCCAAGCGGGAGAAUGGACGUCGUAAUUUAUGGUAGAGGGGGUACGCGUUCGCGCGGCCCCUAC
rnacentral:snRNA from 2 species